AAUGAAAAUCAACUGUCGUGGAAAUGGAUCAGGAAAAACUUAAUAACUAAUAUUUUUGCAACUGUCCCGGAUUUAAUUAUACAUUUUUAUUUUUUAGCUGCAUUAUUGUUCUAUCAUCGGAACAUCCAACAUGCCAGUAUUUUCGAUCGUAGAGGAUUACGUAACAAUUUUCUCAAUCAUGUAAACCGAAUGAUGGUCCUGAUUCUUCAGUAGUUUUUCGAUUCACAGACGAACGAUCCAAAACUACGGAUUUAUCAAAAUUCCUGCCGAAAGUUGCCGCAAAAAAUAAUAUCGGUUGAAAUGCAUCGUAGCUCGUCUGGUUCUCCAUCUAAUUUGAGAUCCUCCUUAUCAAACAAUUUCUGCUCCAAUCCGUUACAAACGGCUCAUAUUCUGAAAAUUUAUCGGCAAUCUCUCAGCACAUGCAUAUACAAGUGGCUCUUCUCCGAUGCUGGUAUAGCGCACCUCGAUACUUUGCCUUUAGGCAAUGGUGUUUCAGUCCGGAGCAUCUCCGGGACGGACAAAAGGAAUAUGUUUAUUAUUUGAAUCUUAGCAUGUUUGAUUGUCUGAAUACUGACUGUACUUCAAAUCUAUUGAUUGUUUUGAGAUUUUGUGGAUGUAUGAAUAUUGUAGCACUCCUCAAUUUAAAAAGUGAUGAUACAGCUUGUUAUGGAACCUAAUUUUUUUUUCUAACGAUACUCUGCUUACAUAUUUUAUUCAUCCAUAAAAAAACAAAGAACUUCGUAAAUUAAUUCCUUUUGCAUAUAAUGUUGAAGAUUACCUUUUAUAAAGGCUACUCUAGUCGAUAUAAUACCAACAAUCAAUAUGAAACUGGCGAUUUUUUCGUGGUUCCAGUUUCGCAUGCUAUGAACGAUCCUUGGUACCCAGUAAUGUAAUCGGUAAUCAGUACGUAGUUUUUUAUCGUUUUAGAACAUCGAAGCAAUCUGUACUCUUUACUCCCAUUAGAGACAAUUGACAUUGUUUGUGUUAUUUAGUAAUCUCUUUUCUUCUGCAGCAUUUGCGUGAAAUGUCAUUUUCUUCAACGAAAAUUAAAAGAUCAAUCGUUCGCCUUACUUUGUAUCACCCUGAUCUCGGUGUUUUUUUAUCUCCAAUUUGUUUUAUUUUAGUGCAAACGGAUUCCUAAUAAUAUCAAACUCAUUGUAACGUCUACCGAAUCCAUUCCUAUGCAUACCGCUCCGCCAGCGGUUAUUUUGGACUACAAAAUGCAUGGAGGAACGUAACGCGUGGAGCCGAUCUUCCAGAGCUACCGUGAAACAAGGAGGAGAAUGCUCGAAAGUAUGCAAGAGCAAUUCUUGGAAGCACUUCCGGAGGAAUUCCUGGAGGCACUUCAAAUUCCUUACGAUUCACCUUUUAAAUCUCUUGCUAUUUCCAAUGGAAUGGUAUCAGUGGCCGAUGGCUGGCCGGUUGAUUAUACAGUCGGUGAUAUGGCUGACGGGCGGCCGGACGGAGAAUUGGCCGACAGGUGGUCGGGCGACAAUACGGCCAACAGCGGCUUGGACGAAGAGGUGGUCGGUGGGUUGUAAAGCCGGUAUCAAACGACCGCUUGUUGAAACGUACGGCGGGAAUCCGACUAUGUGCCGGACUAUAAUACGGAUGCGGCUCACGAUUCUAGCCAGGCGACGAAGUUCCCAACCAAUAAUUCGGAGUUUGGAAAUUUACCACCUCGUGAUUUGGGAAAAUGUCACGAAUCACCAGUUCCAAUGGACCAAUUUUACAAGAAAGAAACACCUCUCUUUCCAUCAAAGCCAGAAGUCACACUCCACUCAGUUGCUUUCGUUUUCCUUUCUCCAGCCCUUUGGCUUGGUACUCAUUUGCCCACAGAAAUCAUGCGUUCAGUAUUUCCGCCUUUAAAUGUUGUUUCGCACUGGACAAGGCGCUCAUUUUAUUGGCUUGCGUUUCGACCACCCAAAGCAAGAAACCCACCGUUUGAAAAAAAAACAAAUCUGACAAAAUAUUCAUCACACUCGAAUUAACAAAAAGUAUACAACUGUUACCGCCGGUAACACACGAUUUCAAUUUAAUUCGGAGACCAUCUUCAACCGUAAAACAUCUAUGGUGUAGAUUUCAAAGGGCGCAAAUGUCGAUUAGGGAUAAUAAGGGACCGGACUGGUUAACUCCUUUUAUUGUAUGUAGUUUAUAGAAUUAAGUUAAGAGAUAAUAUUAUUGAUAAAUUUGAAUUUAUAGUUUGAGCUACCGGUAUGGGUUAGCUAAAAAAGAACUGGUUUCUACCCAAACAGUCAUUUUAUUUCUUUUACUUCAGAGCGAAGUCUCAGAGCAAUGAUAUGCGCCCGCAGAAAAAGCUCGCGUAUGCAGUGGACACAUCCAAAGCGGAUCUUCUUCUUGGAAUCCGCUUUUUCUCGAUAAUUCAGAAGCAAAGGAAAAAACCAUGGUCCAUCAUGCAGAUUCGUUCCGUGUUAAGUGUUCUCACUCGGGGAAAAUCACCAGCAUGAAACAAAAUCAUAAAUAAAAGUCAAUGAAUCAUGCAUGAGAAAACAUUAGUCUGCAGUAUAGUAGCCUGUCCAAGUUCGCGGCAUAGCGUCAAACAUCAAUCUACGACUCUACUUCACGACAUCACCAGUUGUAAAAAGAAAUGUUAAAAUUUGACAAGCAAAAACUUACCCCCGCCCAUAAACUUGAAACUGUAUUGUACUUAUCUCUAGUGUUGUAGUGAGUGUGUAAAAAUGAAAAUGUGUAUCUCUUGGCCGAGGUUCUGGGCCAUCCGAAUGACAAUCUACAGGUUUUCUUUUGUUUUCGAUAGCUAUAAACACAAGAAGGCGAAAUACGCUACGAGCAUCAAGUCUAUCAAGUGGAAGACUUUUUUCGGAUCCUAAUAAAUAAAUUAACAAAUAAAUCGUCAUAUCAUUACUCUUUAUUAAAUACAAAGUAAACCUUGAUUGGUAUUUGGAGUUUUAAAUUUUAAUAUAAAUAAAAUGUAAAAAUCAAGACAAUUUACUCAUUAUGUGGUUUUCUUAAAAUUAAGCCAUCCGGAUAUUUUCCACAAGUUCUUUUAGAAGCUGCUUAGAAGCUUUUAUAACUUCGUGACAGCUGGCGGUUUUUUCUCUGAUAUUGGCUUUGCAACGUUGAAACUUAAACCCAUACUUUUUAAUAUAUCUUAUCUCAUUAACUGUGAAUAAAAUAUAUUUGGCCUUUCACGUUCAAUGAAAAAUAUUGUACGUUUCUCUUUUUCCUUUCUUUUCCAUAAGAAAUAGGGUACUCGACAAAGGCUUCGCCAAGAGCGGUGGGAGUUCACGCUUCAGCUUUGACUAUAGUUACUUGAGAUAUCAAUUGGAUUUAGGUCUAGUAUUGCAGUGUAAAUAUCUGUUGUUUCAGUUUUGCUUCAGAAUUUCAUUUCAAAAUUGUUUCAGAAACAUAAAAUUUUACUUAGGAUUGUAGAAAUCUCUUUAUUCUAAUAGAUUGCUUAGCACACUGAAAUAAACUAACACUUGUUGUUAUCUCUCAUAAAACUCAACCCAUCUGUUUAUUGCUCCCAGUAUUUAUAGUAUUAUAAACAAUAGCUUUUGUUUACCACUGAUAAUGAUUACAUCAACAUCGUUUCACAUUCUUUUCUGCAUCCUAGCACUAUUACUAUCGUAAUUAUUAUUCAAUUCUCGGAACUAGCCGUCGGUUCAUUUCACUUGCUCUGCACUGACCGAAAACACUAUAUCCAACAAUACCUUUCCCUUCUAGUUAAUUUCAUGUAAAUUAAAUUAAAUUUGAUCAUAUUACUCUUAGUAUUAUAAUAAUUCAAAAAUAUGUAUUAUCAGUUCAAAAUUUAGUUCAUGUAUACAAAUGCAUCAUCAUGUUUCUUUUUCUUCAGUCUACUUGACCUUCGUGGAGUUCUAGAUUCAUUUCUAAUCAGCUGUUGCACCGGCCGUUGAAAAGGUUGUAAUGAGAUUGGGUGUAGUUCGCGACUGGCGGGCAUGGGUUGUUCUGGUUCGAAACCGAGGAAUUCAUCUGCGCUAUCGUCGGCCUCCGAGAACGUUCGUUUGGUUCCUCGUGCAUGGAUUUCGCUUCGAUCCGCCCUCUCUGGUAUAGUACGUGUUCCACCAUUUCCGCCUUCGCUGUCAGAGAAGUGGAGCGUACAAUGACGCCUUCGUCCACUCUGACUAUUCUGAAUCUUCACC